rnacentral:tRNA from 1 species
AAUUAAGAAAUCAUUAGAUGAUGAACUGUAAAUUCAUAUAAGAUUCACAUUUAACUU